rnacentral:rRNA from 1 species
GAUGAACGCUGGCGGCGUGCCUAAUACAUGCAAGUCGAACGCUGGAAAUCUAGCUUGCUAGAUUGAAGGAGUGGCGAACGGGUGAGUAAUACAUAAGCAACCUACCCACGAAGACUGGGAUAAUCUCUGGAAACGGGGACUAAUACCGGAUAGGUAAUCGGAAGGCAUCUUCUGAUUAUUAAAGGUUAAAAACACUGGUGGAUUGGCUUAUGGCGCAUUAGUUAGUUGGUGAGGUAACGGCCCACCAAGACGAUGAUGCGUAGCCGGCCUGAGAGGGUGAACGGCCACAUUGGGACUGAGACACGGCCCAGACGCCUACGGGAGGCAGCAGUAGGGAAUUUUCGGCAAUGGGGGAAACCCUGACCGAGCAACGCCGCGUGAGUGAUGACGGCCUUCGGGUUGUAAAGCUCUGUUGUAAGGGAAGAACGGUAGAUAGAGAAUAUCUAAAUGACGGUACCUUACCAGAAAGCCACGGCUAACUACGU